AAACAUACCAAUUUGAAAAAUGAACGGAAUGCAUUGUCGAUAUAAAAACUGGAAGACGGGUCAUUUCUUACUGAUAAAUUCUGAAAAAAACAGAGAUGUUAAUAGCAGGGUUUCAGUCACAUGAUUAUGAUGAUGCGCAUGGGCGGGAAGAAGGCAGAUGGAGGGCAGGAAGUAAACAUGGAGAAUACGUCUAUAGAGGAAACUGUUGCAGAGAGUCAGUAUUGUACGGAUUUAGAUCCAGUUUCGAGACAUAGAUACAAGGAGUUAAUUAACAGAUAUGUUGGACAUGACCCGCACCUCAUGAAGAUGAAUGAGUUUUCAGUAGAACUGAAAGAUUUACCGACAGUUGAGGCUGUUGACUUCACCAACUAUCUGGUCCUUCAGACAUUGUACUACACCAGACAGCAAAUGAAGGCCUAUAAAAGUUUUUUUGUCAACAGGUGGGUCCACAACCUCGGUGUCAAACGGCUCCACGAUGAUCAUCGUUUGGUCUUCGCCAGAACUAUCAGAAUCGUGUUCUCAUGUAGGGGCAGUUCUUUUUUCCAUUGAAGUUGGGGUUAAGAUGCAAGAUUCAGCUUCCUGCAAAACAGAGCAGUGCAAGUGGCUGAUCCUAUCACAUGUAAAAAAGGUAAGGUGACACAUUCACAGCAAACCAAAUGUGGGACAGAGAAUGUUAUUUUGGGACACUGUUUAACAGUAGGCUAAAUUAUGAUGUUAAUAAAUUAAAGGGAUAGUUCA
ensembl:lncRNA